AACGAACGCUGGCGGCAUGCCUAACACAUGCAAGUCGAGCGAGACCUUCGGGUCUAGUGGCGCACGGGUGCGUAACGCGUGGGAAUCUGCCCUUGGGUUCGGAAUAACAGCGAGAAAUUGCUGCUAAUACCGGAUGAUGACGUAAGUCCAAAGAUUUAUCGCCCAAGGAUGAGCCCGCGUAGGAUUAGCUAGUUGGUGAGGUAAAGGCUCACCAAGGCGACGAUCCUUAGCUGGUCUGAGAGGAUGAUCAGCCACACUGGGACUGAGACACGGCCCAGACUCCUACGGGAGGCAGCAGUGGGGGAAUAUUGGACAAUGGGCGAAAGCCUGAUCCAGCAAUGCCGCGUGAGUGAUGAAGGCCUUAGGGUUGUAAAGCUCUUUUACCCGGGAUGAUAAUGACAGUACCGGGAGAAUAAGCCCCGGCUAACUCCGUGCCAGCAGCCGCGGUAAU
rnacentral:rRNA from 1 species